UCGGUGUGCUUGUUUGCCUAAGACUUGUUUACACGGACUUUUAAAAUUUACAUUACUUGAAUACUUUCGAUGCUCUUUGAAAGAAUAUCAACUCAAGAGGGAUUGGGAUUGGAACAAUGGUAACCUGGUUCAUACAUUGACCAAUCGGCGCUGGAUGUAAAACCCGGUGGCAUAUGCUGAAUCGUAAGAUCAAGCAUUGGGCUAUAAAACGAUUGCUUUCUGGAUGAUGGAUAAGGAUUUGUACACAUUUGUGGUGAAGUUUACCUGAACUUUAUAGGUAACGAAUUCGGUCGAUGAUAAGUUGUUGAAAUGAUUUUGAUCGUUCAAUGCCCAUAUCGAAGAACGUUUCCAUUGGUCAGAAUGCCUACCAGCGUAUGAUAGCUGCAAACAUGAGGACAACAAGGUUAUCGCUUUCGAAUGGAACAAUUAUUUAUUAUUCGUGUUCAAGUUCCAUUACAGCAAAAGUUUCGUCGAUUAUCGCAUUGUCGUUGAUUUAGCCGGCAAAUGCAAAAUAGCGCUCGGCACUGACAAUAAGGAGUAAGAAGGAUUUGAUUGGAGUGAUAAUAAUAAUGCAGAGCAUUAUACAUUCUGGUAGAAUAUCAGAGAGGAGAAAUUAUAUGUAAAUUUAUAUUAUAUCCCGAGUAGCCAUCAUUUUGGCACCGCAAUAAA